rnacentral:sRNA from 1 species
UCCACUAACAUGGUAUUAGGGCCUCAUCGCUUUUGAUUUUUUUUUUCUUCGUCUUCCGCUUCAUCUUCUCUUUCAUUUUCUCUUCCUUUCUUUCUUCUUUCUUUUUU